UGGCAUCCUUGUCUGUUUGUGGACAAAGUCCUGCCUAUCUGAGAAUAUAGAUCUUCGACCACUGACCAAACUCCACUUCAAGCAGUCCCGAGGACUGCUCUUCCCCUUGCCCACGGACCUGUCUGCUCAGUCCUUGGAUUUCCCAGGAUCAUGCCGAAAAUUUUGCACUGGAGCGCAGCACUAGUACUUGCACAAAGUGGAUUUUGCACUUAAUGUCAGCAGCUUCCUUUCUGGGAAGAACCCCGGGAGUAACCAGGAGUGUAUGGAGUGCCUGAAUAACCUACUGUGUCCCCAAUGUUCUCAAUCACCAGAGCCCAGCAAGGG